AUAGCAUCACGUUUAAACACCGGUUCCCGUACUAUCUCGAUAAGUUAAGCAACGUUGAGCCUGGUCAGUACCUAGAUGGGUGACCAUUUGGAAAUAUCAGGUGCUGUAA